rnacentral:rRNA from 1 species
GGGAAAGCUUUAGCGGUAUGGGAUGGGGUCGCGUCCUAUCAGCUUGAUGGCGGGGUAACGGCCCACCAUGGCUUCGACGGGUAGCCGGCCUGAGAGGGCGACCGGCCACAUUGGGACUGAGAUACGGCCCAGACUCCUACGGGAGGCAGCAGUGGGGAAUAUUGCACAAUGGGCGCAAGCCUGAUGCAGCGACGCCGCGUGCGGGAUGACGGCCUUCGGGUUGUAAACCGCUUUUGACUGGGAGCAAGCCCUUCGGGGUGAGUGUACCUUUCGAAUAAGCACCGGCUAACUACGUGCCAGCAGCCGCGGUAAUACGUAGGGUGCAAGCGUUAUCCGGAAUUAUUGGGCGUAAAGGGCUCGUAGGCGGUUCGUCGCGUCCGGUGUGAAAGUCCAUCGCUUAACGGUGGAUCCGCGCCGGGUACGGGCGGGCUUGAGUGCGGUAGGGGAGACUGGAAUUCCCGGUGUAACGGUGGAAUGUGUA